rnacentral:rRNA from 1 species
GUGGGGAAUAUUGCGCAAUGGGGGAAACCCUGACGCAGCAACGCCGCGUGAGUGAUGAAGGCUUUCGAGUCGUAAAACUCUGUCUUUGGGGACGAAUAAUGACGGUACCCUAGGAGGAAGCCCCGGCUAACUACGUGCCAGCAGCCGCGGUAAUACGUAGGGGGCAAGCGUUGUCCGGAAUCACUGGGCGUAAAGGGCGCGUAGGCGGUUUGUUAAGUCAGGUGUGAAAGUUUUCAGCUUAACUGGAAAAGUGCACUUGAAACUAACUUACUUGAGUACUGGAGAGGUAAGCGGAAUUCCUAGUGUAGCGGUGAAAUGCGUAGAUAUUAGGAAGAACACCGGUGGCGAAGGCGGCUUACUGGACAGAGACUGACGCUGAGGCGCGAAAGCGUGGGGAGCGAACAGGAUUAGAUACCCUAGUAGUCC